CCUACGGGUGGCUGCAGUGAGGAAUAUUGGUCAAUGGGCGGGAGCCUGAACCAGCCAAGCCGCGUGAGGGAAGAAGGCGCCAAGCGUCGUAAACUUCUUUUGCCGGGGAACAAAGGGCGCCACGUGUGGCGUUGUGAGUGUACCCGAAGAAAAAGCAUCGGCUAACUCAGUUCCAGCAGCCGCGGUAAUACAGAGGAUGCGAGCGUUAUCCGGAUUUAUGGGGUUGAAGGGGUGCGUAGGCGGACCGGAAAGUCAGCGGUAAAAGCCCGGGGCUCAACCCCGGGGAGCCGUUGAAACUGGCGGACUAGAGAGGGCGAGAAGUACGCGGAAUGCGCGGUGUAGGGGUGAAAUGCAUAGAUAUCGCGCAGAACUCCGAUGGCGAAGGCAGCGUACCGGCGCCUGACUGACGCUGAGGCACGAAAGCGUGGGUAUCGAACAGGAUUAGAUACCCCAGUAGUC
rnacentral:rRNA from 1 species